UACAGAGGGUGCGAGCGUUGUCCGGAAUCACUGGGCGUAAAGGGCGCGUAGGUGGCUUGUUAAGCGUGUGGUGAAAGCCUGGGGCUCAACCCCAGGUCUGCCGUGCGAACUGGCAAGCUUGAGCGUAGUAGAGGCAGGUGGAAUUUCGGGUGUAGCGGUGGAAUGCGUAGAUAUCCGAAAGAACACCGGUGGCGAAGGCGGCCUGCUGGGCUACUGCUGACACUGAUGCGCGACAGCGUGGGGAGCCAAACAGG
rnacentral:rRNA from 1 species